rnacentral:lncRNA from 1 species
CGAUGGACAGGGCUGCGUCCGGAGCUCAGGGACAAAGCCCUCUUGGCAGGGGCUGCAGCUGGGCCUGUGAAACAGCCCUUUCAGCUCCGGCUCUGAAUGGCGGUUCUGUGGCCUCGUUGGAGGAACACAGGCGCCUUUUCUGUGUCACUUCCCCCUCACCAGCGGAGCUCCAGAAAUAUGCCACAGCUCGCAUUCCGCCAGGGGCUUGCAUGCAGACAGGGAGGAAACUCGUGAAAUGAAAAACCCCCGCAACCAGACAGAGCGGAGUUUGAGUCCCUCUUCUGUCACCUGCCAGCUGACUUCAGGUGAAUCCUUCACUUGGCUGCUGUCCUGUCCCAUGUCUGUAAAGUCGGGAUCUCAACACCAAUAUCACAGGAUGGAGGAGGAUGAGGUGUAUUGAAUGCUGCAUCCGUGUUUAUUGUUUCUCCAGCACCUUCUUGUAUCGGUCAGGACAGGAUAGGUGAGUUGCAGUAACAAACAAGCCCUCAGAUCACAAUGGCUUAACACGGGGAUUGUUUCUCUCUGGUGAUGCAGACCCGGGCUAGACAGGUGCCUCCCUGCACAGGCCCUCCCCAAGGCUGCCUGCACGCUGCUGUCCUGCCAUUUCCAAGUCCUGGGUCAGCCACACAGUCAAGAGAGAGACAGCAUGUGUCUCUCCGAACAGCCUCAGACGAGGAGCACACGGCCGACUCUGCCUAGCAGCCCAGGGGGAGGAGGUGGGUAUUCAGGAGCAGUGACACUCUCUGUCACUCUUCCCAAGAGAAAAAGAAAGCUCCCAUUGGCCCUACAUCACCUCUAGAUGAAAAGUCAAACUCAGCUGGGCAUUUCAGACUCCUCAGGCUCUUUCUCGCCACCUUCCCCAGGCCAUUGCCUGUCUCUCUGCCUCCCCCUCUACCCCCCCAUCCCUCUCUCUUCUCUGCCACAGAAUGAGUCACUCCCUCCUCAUAGCACAUUUUUCCCCUUAAUUGCAGCAGAUUCUGUUUCAGAUUUUCCUUACUGGUUUGGGUGACUCUCCCCUACGAGACCAUGAGCGCCUCCGAUGCUGCCCUUGGCGCAGGCACCUUAUCUGAGUUUGUGCUCGAUAAACAGUGACUCACCUUGUUUUAGGGGAAACAUGAAACCUUGAAUGUCAGGCUCUGCAGGAAACUCAAAGGUCAUCUAAAACAGGAAAUCCAGCGUGGCCACCCCUUGUGCUCACCUGGAGAGGGUGUUAAAAAUACAGAGGCCACCGCGUUGGAUGCGUCCUUGGGGCCAGAGGGUGAGCCCACGCCCCCAGGGGCAGCUGGUGGAGCUUUCCCUGGGGAGUGGCUCCCAGUGUCAAUCAUGCUGGAAGAGGGAGUGGGCACUGGGGGGCGGCAGGGGGCAGGCCUGGGUUUAGCGCUGGGAACCCUAGUGGACCUGGCGGAUGCCCGCCCCAUGGCCCUGCAGCCCACCUGUGGCUUUCCCUACAGCUGCACACUGACAGUGAGGAGGGCAGCGGGGGAUCAAGCAGCAGUGAGCCCCACAGAGCCAGCCUCCGAACUGAGCCUCUGGAGAGCUGAGAAGAGCAGAUGAAGAUGUGUCAACAGUGGUCAGCUCACCCGUUUCAUCCUUCAGCUUCAAAACUCUGGAGCCACACAGACCAGGUCUGCAGAUUUUCAGGAUUCUUGCUGCUGCUGCCGCUUAGAAGCUUAGGAGAGAAAAAUAAAAUUCCGCCAAAUUGGG